rnacentral:rRNA from 1 species
UGGAGCAUGUGGUUAAUUCGAAGCAACGCGAAGAACCUUACCAGGUCUUGACAUCCCGAUGCUAUUCUAGAGAUAGAAAGUACUCGGUGCAUCGGUGACAGGUGGUGCAUGGUGUCGUCAGCUCGUGUCGUGAGACGUUGGGUUAAGUCCCGCAACGAGCGCAACCCCUAUUGUUAGUUGCCAUCAUUCAGUUGGGCACUCUAGCGAGACUGCCGGUAAUAAACCGGAGGAAGUGGGGAUGACGUCAAAUCAUCAUGCCCCUUAUGACCUGGGCUACACACGUGCUACAAUGGUUGGUACAACGAGUUGCGAGUCGGUGACGGCGAGCUAAUCUCUUAAAGCCAAUCUCAGUUCGGAUUGUAGGCUGCAACUCGCCUACAUGAAGUCGGAAUCGCUAGUAAUCGCGGAUCAGCACGCCGCGGUCGAAUACGUUCCCGGGCCUU